UACGUAGGGGGCUAGCGUUGUCCGGAAUCAUUGGGCGUAAAGCGCGUGUAGGCGGUCCGGUAAGUCCGCUGUGAAAGUCGGGGGCUCAACCCUCGGAUGCCGGUGGAUACUGUCGGGCUUGAGUACGGAAGAGGCGAGUGGAAUUCCUGGUGUAGCGGUGAAAUGCGCAGAUAUCAGGAAGAACACCCGUGGCGAAGGCGGUUCUCUGGGACGGUACUGACGCUGAGACGCGAAAGCGUGGGGGGCGAACAGG
rnacentral:rRNA from 1 species